rnacentral:rRNA from 1 species
UACGUAGGGUGCAAGCGUUAAUCGGAAUUACUGGGCGUAAAGCGUGCGCAGGCGGUUUUGUAAGACAGGCGUGAAAUCCCCGAGCUUAACUUGGGAAUGGCGCUUGUGACUGCAAGGCUAGAGUAUGUCAGAGGGGGGUAGAAUUCCACGUGUAGCAGUGAAAUGCGUAGAGAUGUGGAGGAAUACCGAUGGCGAAGGCAGCCCCCUGGGACGUCACUGACGCUCAUGCACGAAAGCGUGGGGAGCAAACAGG